AGGACGAACGCUGGCGGCGUGCCUAACACAUGCAAGUCGAGCGGGGAGAACCCUUCGGGGUUUUCUAGCGGCGGACGGGUGAGUAACGCGUGAGCAACCUUUCCUUCACAGGGGGAUAACGCAGCGAAAGCUGUGCUAAUACCGCAUGAGACCACAGGACCGCAGUGGUCAAGGGGUCAAAGGAGCAAUCCAGUGAAGGGUGGGCUCGCGUCUGAUUAGCUAGUUGGCGGGGUAAAGGCCCCACCAAGGCAACGAUCAGUAGCCGACCUGAGAGGGUGAUCGGCCACACUGGGACUGAGACACGGCCCAGACUCCUACGGGAGGCAGCAGUGGGGAAUAUUGGGCAAUGGGGGGAAAAACCCCUGACCCAGCAACGCCGCGUGAGGGAAGAAGGUUUUCGGAUCGUAAACCUCUGUCCUUGGUGAAGAGUAGAAGACGGUAGCCAAGGAGGAACGCCCCGGCUAACUACGUGCCAGCCGCUGC
rnacentral:rRNA from 1 species